rnacentral:lncRNA from 1 species
ACUUUAAGAACAAGCUGUAACCGAGCCUUUUGAUCACAUCUAGUCUAAGAUCCAACUAAUAUAUGGAUUCCUGCGUUGGUUGCUUCUGAUAGCCAGUUUCCAACUGCGGGGGGGAAAGGAGUGGCUAUUAGACAGUUGUUUCCAAAGCUGGACAUUACUCCAUGUCCCCAGGAUAUCAAGGAGUGACCAGUAAGACUCAAACAUCAAACUGCCCAGCUGGAGGACAGCAGGUCCCAGAAGCCAGGAGUGGAUAAAACACAAGUGGAAAUUCUACAGCAUGGCAGCUCUGCACUGGGCCAGAGCACUGUGGGCAACUGGGAGUGCUGUUCAGGGUUCUCGGAGACUCAGGGAGUGAAGGGGACAGAACCAGAAGCAACCAGGAGAGGUUGUCACAUGAGCUAGGUGAGUCAGAAUGAUCUGAAUCAACACGGCACCGUGGGGAUGAAAAGGAGGCAGGUUUCGACAAGCGAUGGAGGUGCAUCCCUGGGACGGGAGGUGACUGGACGUGGGGGUUAUGAAGAGGACACUGGUGGACAGAGGGAGCCAUUCACACAGUCAAGACAUCAAGCGGCUGACUCUGUGUGUGUGUGUGUGUGUGUGUGUGUGUGUGUGUGUGUGUGUGCAUGUGCAUAUAUACAUGCAUGGGCAGUUUUUCAAGCACCAUUAUGGCAUGCAUUAAUAAAGGACGGCCAUACGGAAUCA